rnacentral:rRNA from 1 species
UGGCGGACGGGUGAGUAACGCGUGGAAAACCUGCCGUAUACUGGGGGAUAACACUUAGAAAUAGGUGCUAAUACCGCAUAAGCGCACAGCUUCGCAUGAAGCGGUGUGAAAAACUCUGGUGGUAUACGAUGGUUCCGCGUCUGAUUAGCUAGUUGGUGGGGUAAUGGCCUACCAAGGCAACGAUCAGUAGCCGGCCUGAGAGGGUGAACGGCCACAUUGAGACUGAGACACGGCCCAAACUCCUACGGGAGGCAGCAG